rnacentral:sRNA from 1 species
UCACCCAAUCUGCGUGACAGAAAGGGGGUGUGUUACUAAUGCUUAACUAUUUAAUCCUUUUAUUUGUUGCUGUUAUGGCGAAUGUAAUUAGCUAUUACAUCUGCAAAUGGUUAGACAGUAACAAGAAAUAGUGACUAGCCAAAACCGUUAUUUAGGCGGUAAAGAAAAAGCACAGGGUCGCCGCCCUGUGCUUUUUUGGUGUUACCAAU